UUCCCCUUCGGGGGACAAAGUGACAGGUGGUGCAUGGUUGUCGUCAGCUCGUGUCGUGAGAUGUUGGGUUAAGUCCCGCAACGAGCGCAACCCUUAAGCUUAGUUGCCAUCAUUAAGUUGGGCACUCUAAGUUGACUGCCGGUGACAAACCGGAGGAAGGUGGGGAUGACGUCAAAUCAUCAUGCCCCUUAUGAUUUGGGCUACACACGUGCUACAAUGGACAAUACAAAGGGCAGCGAAACCGUGAGGUAAAGCAAAUCCCAUAAAGUUGUUCUCAGUUCGGAUUGUAGUCUGCAACUCGACUACAUGAAGCUGGAAUCGCUAGUAAUCGUAGAUCAGCAUGCUACGGUGAAUACGUUCCCGGGUCUUGUACACACCGCCCGUCACACCACGAGAGUUUGUAACACCCGAAGCCGGUGGAGUAACCUUUUAGGAGCUAGCCGUCGAAGGUGGGACAAAUGAUUGGGGUGAAGUCGUAACAAGGUAGCCGUAUCGGAAGGUGCGGCUGGAUCACCUCCUUU
rnacentral:rRNA from 1 species